UGAACGCUGGCGGCGUGCCUAAUACAUGCAAGUCGAGCGAACGGACGAGAAGCUUGCUUCUCUGAUGUUAGCGGCGGACGGGUGAGUAACACGUGGAUAACCUACCUAUAAGACUUGGAUAACUUCGGGAAACCGGAGCUAAUACCGGAUAAUAUUUUGAACCGCAUGGUUCAAAAGUGAAAGACGUUCUUGCUGUCACUUAUAGAUGGAUCCGCGCUGCAUUAGCUAGUUGGUAAGGUAACGGCUUACCAAGGCAACGAUGCAUAGCCGACCUGAGAGGGUGAUCGGCCACACUGGAACUGAGACACGGUCCAGACUCCUACGGGAGGCAGCAGUAGGGAAUCUUCCGCAAAGGGCGAAAGCCUGACGGAGCAACGCCGCGUGAGUGAUGAAGGUCUUCGGAUCGUAAAACUCUGUUAUUAGGGAAGAACAUAUGUGUAAGUAACUGUGCACAUCUUGACGGUACCUAAUCAGAAAGCCACGGCUAACUACGUG
rnacentral:rRNA from 1 species